GCGCCUGUAGCUCAGCAGGAUAGAGCGGCGGAUUCCUAAUCCGCAGGUCGGGGGUUCGAGUCCCUCCAGGCGCACCA
rnacentral:tRNA from 1 species